GACUGCUCCUUUGGCCUAGUGGCUAGAGAGUCUGCCUCAUAUGCGGGAGGUUGUAGGUUCAAUCCCCAGUAGAGUCA